ACUUAAAUUGAAGAGUUUGAUCAUGGCUCAGAUUGAACGCUGGCGGCAGGCCUAACACAUGCAAGUCGAGCGGUAGCACAGAGAGCUUGCUCUCGGGUGACGAGCGGCGGACGGGUGAGUAAUGUCUGGGAAACUGCCUGAUGGAGGGGGGUAACUACUGGAAACGGUAGCUAAUACCGCAUAACGUCGCAAGACCAAAGUGGGGGACCUUCGGGCCUCAUGCC
rnacentral:rRNA from 1 species